GACGAACGCUGGCGGCGUGCUUAACACAUGCAAGUCGAACGGAAAGGCCCUGCUUUUGUGGGGUGCUCGAGUGGCGAACGGGUGAGUAACACGUGAGUAACCUGCCCUUGACUUUGGGAUAACUUCAGGAAACUGGGGCUAAUACCGGAUAGGAGCUCCUGCUGCAUGGUGGGGGUUGGAAAGUUUCGGCGGUUGGGGAUGGACUCGCGGCUUAUCAGCUUGUUGGUGGGGUAGUGGCUUACCAAGGCUUUGACGGGUAGCCGGCCUGAGAGGGUGACCGGCCACAUUGGGACCUGAGAUACGGCCCAGACUCCUACGGGAGGCAGCAGUGGGGAAUAUUGCACAAUGGGCGGAAGCCUGAUGCAGCAACGCCGCGUGCGGGAUGACGGCCUUCGGGUUGUAAACCGCUUUCGCCUGUGACGAAGCGUGAGUGACGGUAAUGGGUAAAGAAGCACCGGCUAACUACGUG
rnacentral:rRNA from 1 species